GACCUGAUAGCACAACGGCUAGUGCAUCUGCAUGCUGUGGAAUUUUCUCGCCUUAUGUUUCCGCAGAAGAUCCCCGUUCGACUCGGGGUCAGGUCA